GCGAACUAUGAAUCAAGAAAUGAAUCCCGCAAAACCUUUCAUGACUGAAAACGAAAUCUCGUAAACGAAAGCAAAUGAAGCACUCUUCACACACUGGCAAACAACCUGCUUGCACAUGUUCAGAUUUCUAUCAUCAGAGGGCGCAUCGCUAGUCAAAAUAACCGAACAACCCGGACUCCCCGCCCGAGUCGUCUCUUCCUUGUGUCCAUGUCUGUGACGCCUUAUCUGUGUACCGACUACCGAGUUCUAAUUUUGAGGUUAAUUGUGUUAUUUCAAUUUGAAAGAUGUGGUAGUGAACGCCUGUGCUUACACGUUAUAAAAGGGAUAUGUUGAAGUGAAGCAUGCUGGAUUCCCACAUGAUUUAGGGAAGCAUCAAAACUGUGGUUUCUUAAAUGAAAAGAAGUUCAAAAUUCGCCAAUUGUAACAGUGAGUGUUUGAAAGAUUUUUUUUUACUAAGAUGGACUGCAGUAAACGUGAUAUAGAUAUAGAUUGAAUUGAAUGGAAUUAGCGAAAUGAGAAGAGUUAAAUUUCAAGAAAAACUGAAUAAUUCAAAAGAAGUACAAUUGAAGUUUCCUGGAGAUCAAUUACCCUCGAUGGUAGAUUGAACCGAGAAUGAAUUCAUCCCAGGACAAACUAAUAGUUCAAACCGAGGUUUAAACCGAAAAACAAAGAACCUAUUGAUUCAUGUCUCCUUAUUAUCUUCAAGUGGGUUGACCAUGUACAAUGAAUCAUUUCGUGCACAUUGCUCCAGUACCAAUCAUAUGAAAUCAUUUUCAUAAUAAGGGAAAUGUACCGUAAAACGGGGCUGCUUGAUACACUUUUCCAAAUUUUAGGUCCUACCUCGCUGUAACAAAGAUACGUUAAUCGAAACUAAAAUUAUUUUAGCUUAAUUUGGGGUGAGGGCUAU